AUGAAGACCAGGGGGCCCACACCUUUCUCACGAGGGUGGGGGGCGCCCCCCUUAGGGCGCGCCCCCUACCUCGUGGGCCCCUUGGAUGCCCUCCGACGCCAACUCCAACUCUAUAUAUUUGCUUUCGGAGAGAAAAAAAAUAGAGAGAAGAAAUCAUCGCGUUUUACGAUAUGGAGCCGCCGCCAAGCCCUAAAACCUCUCGGGAGGGCUGAUCUGGAGUCCGUUCGGGGCUCCGGAGAGGGGGAUUCGUCGCCGUCGUCAUCAUCAACCAUCCUCCAUCACCAAUUUCAUGAUGCUCACCGCCGUGCGUGA
rnacentral:rRNA from 1 species